GAAGAACCGGAGAACGGUUGGCGAGUCUGGAUGAGAGGACGGCGGCGGAGUCACUGUGGACGUUGUUCGCUCAGCAGGUUAGAGUGUGGGACGCUCGCAAAGCUUUUUUCCCCCGUCCGUCGUGUCUUUUCCUGUGUGAACUCUGCCGCUCUCAACAGCAGCACUGGCUAUGAGCUAGCUCCUGCUAGCUCCAACAACCAUCUCUCAACUGCUACAAGGUCCAACUUGACACACAACUUGAAUCCAACCAGACUGAACACUGACUCCAGGGACAGACGAGCCUGAAGGACACAGCUGUGAUGACCAUGUUCUGUCUCUUAUGGCAAAGCAGAAAUAUAAAACACUGGGUUCUUAUCUAAAGUGUAUCAAAUCAGAUCUCCACCAUGUUGCUGCUGAGGACAUCAGUUGUCUUCCAGUUGACCAGCAUGAAGCUGCAGAUCUCCACCAUGUUGCUGCUGGGGACAUCAGGAGCUGCAUUAAUGAGGAGCAGAAGCGUACUGUUAUGAAUGUUUUGUGUUGUUUAUGAAGCACUACUUAUUUCAGCUAGAACCGAUGUACUAGGGUCUGGGUUUGUAUCCUAAUGGUUAAAUGCACAUACUUUAAAUCGCUUUUGAUAAAACGUGACAAAGAAAUACAACAUUGUACACAUAGAUAAAAUGUCUUUCUACCUCAUCUGUAAUAUUCAAGGUGAUGAUCUCCCACAGAGCUGUUGAUAACAGUCCACAUCAAGUCUCUCCACUUCCCUCAGUGUGAAAACAUAAUUAUAUAAUUAAUUGGAGAAGUGUUUACAACACUGAUGUGUGGACAUUAUAAUGUUAUCACUACUGUCUAAUUCACUCUACAACUCCAUGACAGACUAAAUAAACAAUGUGAAAAUAGUAAUGGCGGAUAUACCAUCCUGUAUCAGAAUAUUGGUGAAACAGUUACUAUCACAUGAAACGUACACGUGUAGCGUAUUGAUAGUAACUCAUUAAAAAAAAUAAUG